UGAAUACGAGAUGCUACGGCGUCGAAGCAGUCUAUGUCAUACUUCCAAGAAAAGCUUGCACUGUCAUAAACAAAUAAUGCCUGUACCAUAACCGACACAGGUGGGUAGGUAGAGUAUACUAAGGGGCGCGAGAUAACUCUCUCUAAGGAACUCGGCAAAAUGACUCCGUAACUUCGGGAGAAGGAGUGCCUUAUUUUAUAAGGUUGCAAUAACAAGAUCCAAGCAACUGUUUACCAAAAACACAGGUCUCCGCUAAGUCGUAAGACGAUGUAUGGGGGCUGACGCCUGCCCAGUGCCAGAAGGUUAAAGAAGUUGGUUAGCAUCCGCGAAGCUGAUAACUGAAGCCCUGGUGAACGGCGGCCGUAACUAUAACGGUCCUAAGGUAGCGAAAUUCCUUGUCGGGUAAGUUCCGACCCGCACGAAGGGCGUAAUGAUUUGGAUACUGUCUCAGAGAGGGGCUCGGUGAAAUAGACUUGUCUGUGAAGAUGCGGACUACCUGCACCAGGACAGAAAGACCCUAUGAAGCUUUACUGUAACUUGAAAUUGAAAUUGGACUUUACUUGCGCAGUAUAGGUGGGAGGCGUUGAGAAUAUUCUUGCGGGAAUGUUGGAGCCAUCAGUGAGAUACCACUCUUGUAAUGUUAGAUUUCUAACUUUGUAUCAUUAUCUGGUCAAAGGACAGUUUCAGGCGGGCAGUUUGACUGGGGCGGUCGCCUCCCAAACGGUAACGGAGGCGCACAAAGGUUUCCUCUGAACGGGUAGAAAUCGUAUCUAGAGUGUAAAGGCAUAAGGAAGCUUGACUGUGAGACCUACAAGUCGAGCAGGGACGAAAGUCGGUCUUAGUGAUCUGACGGUGCUGAGUGGAAAGGCCGUCACUCAACGGAUAAAAGUUACUCUAAGGAUAACAGGCUGAUCUCCCCCAAGAGUUCACAUCGACGGGGAGGUUUGGCACCUCGAUGUCGGCUCAUCGCAUCCUGGGGCGGUAGUACGUCCCAAGGGUUGGGCUGUUCGCCCAUGAAAGCGGUACGCGAGCUGGGUUCAGAACGUCGUGAGACAGUUCGGUCCAUAUCCGGUGUAGGCGUUAGAAUAUUGAGAGGAGCCUUCUUUAGUACGAGAGGACCGAGAAGGACAUACCUCUGGUGUACCAGUUAUCGUGCCAACGGUAAACGCUGGGUAGCUAUGUAUGGAGUGGAUAACCGCUGAAAGCAUCUAAGUGGGAAGCCCACCUCAAGAUAAG
rnacentral:rRNA from 1 species